GUCAGGAACACAAGUGCAUAGUGAAGUCUCAGGGCUGGAGUUAACAGGACCCAAAUGACCCUUCUAAGAAAGGCCCUCACCUCCUCGAAGAACUGUUGCUGUAACCUCUCGCUUUGUGGUCAGUGUGUAUGAGUGACUCAAGAAAGUGAUGUUUCAGCUAUGACUGCUGACCUUCCUCAAGGUUUCUUCCAAAUGAGUCAAAGCAAACUCUCCAAAUAUCUAGAAGAAAAGCAAUGUCAAAUCAUUGUACUUCAAAAUAACUGUCAACAUGUAUGACUAGAUUAAAUUAACCUGGAGAUUAGAUGUUGUUGUUCUGAAAUGCAUAUCAAUCUUUAUAUUCAUUGAAGCAACUGCACUAAGAUAACCUUGAUAAUUUCCAUGAAUCUGGGGAGGAGGACACAAACAUAUGGCUGAUUAAACUCAGUGGUCAGCAGUGAGCAUUGGUCCAUGUAAACAAUGAAAAGCCAAUGUUGUAUUACAUUAAACACCAACAGUUUCAGUUUUAAUAUUUAGUAUCUGAGACAUUGACAAUGUUGGAUAUAAUUGCUAGCCACAAAUCACGCUCUGGGGAAAGCAGCCCUACGUUCUAACAUAUCAAAUCACUAUAGGUACUUCACAGUAGUAGUGCUAUGGAGGUUUGAAAUGGUUAUGCCACAGUUUCCUUCUGCAGCGAGUGAGAGCAUCCAAACACUGAAAUGUUAGUAUACAGGAAACAACAGUAGUUCAUUAAAUUCUAAAAUCCAAUCCUGUUAUUCAUAUCAAUUUCUUUGAUAAUAAAAUCAUUACAGUAUAGCACAGAAUGAGUUGUACCAAAGGGGUUACUAUAGUUGUUGUUUGCAGAAGCAGAACCUGGAAAGAUUUUAUGUAGCUAUUAUUCAUACAUAUGAUCAUCUCAAACAUGUAGGCUACCUCAAGAGAGCUGGAGUUGUGCUGCUUAGCCCUAAACUGGUUAUAUAAAUCUGAGCUGUCAGUUUCUCAUCUCUUUUAAUUUAAAUUCUUGGCAGGAUAACUGUGAAAGUAUAAGCAUGCAAUUUUUAAUAAUUAUUUAACUGAAUAUAGAAACUACUGCAAAUUGGGAAAAAAACCACCAACCCUCAACCAGUCUGUUAGUGCAAGACAGUCAUCACUGCUUAGUUUGUGCCAGGCCAAGGCUGGUUUUAUUCUCUUGAUAUUCACAGAUAGGUUUCUAGUUAUUUAAAACCUCAGCAAUUCCUCAUCUAAAGCUCCUGUAUCAAGUAACACACCAGGAAAAGUACAUGAGCCAAAAUGCAUCAUCUGGGAUGUUUUAUGCUGCUCUGCAUGAUUGGCUGUUCAUACAUGUAGAGUCUGCACUUAUGUCAUGAGAUUCUAGACGACAUUUAAACCUUCUGCAUCUGUGAUGUUUUGAGGGUAAAUUUAGUCCUGUUAAGAAAGACAUUAUAAGCACAUUUCAAAUAGCUCCUUCCCUUCAUUUCUCAGUAGUGUCUGCUAUCAUAUAAACUACUCCUCAGCAUAUUCUUAGCCUUCCCAGAGUAACUGCAGCUCUAGGAAAUGCUUGUAUAUCACCACAGUCCAUGCAGUUAAAGGAGAUAAAUUAUUCAGUGAAGUAUCUUUUCCAACCUCCAAAUCUUGGCAAAGCCUUCUAUGCUGAUGAAGGCUCACUAGAAUGGACCAUCACACUGAUUCCAGUAAUUUAUUUUUUCUAUGGUUACUGGCAACUCAAAAGAAAAAAAGUUGCUUAUUAGAUUUGCAAUUUUUUAUGAACUUCAAUGAUUUUUAAGGUCUCCUUUCUUAUUCUAUGAAUCUUGACCACAACAAGAAUACUGCGCCAGGCUUCCAUUUCCUUUCCACAACUCAGUCUUGGUGGAAAAAGGACUGAGAAGCUCUGCUGGCCUUGUUCCACCAUUAGAAAACUACUCUGCAGUGCCCUUUUCCUCUUCCCCCAUUAGCUUCCCUAAGGGAUUAUCUUUGUCCUUGCUCUGCCUUUCAACAGAGGCUCCCUAAUCAUGGUCGGAUGAAAAGACCAUUAAUGUUUGACAGACAAUUUAAUCUGUACAUUUCAAAUGAAGUCUAAAAUCUGGUCUUGUUUCAACACCUGGGAAAAGAGCCAGGAGCUACCUGAUUUACUCUCAAGAUUCAGCUUCUUACCCAAUGGUCUAAGUUCAAGGCCUGCUGAAUACCGGCUAAAUACUAGCUGAGUUCAUCAGUUGUAACUACAAUCUGAAGCCCUCAGGCUGAUGCUUCCUGGCUACUUUUUAAGGCUCUUCCUUCAGAAUGUGUUUGUUUUCUGUCAACUAUUCUCUUUGAUGUUCCAUUUAUCUUUGUUGCAUCAUCCACUAUCAACUCCACGAAAAGGUAACAGUUAGUGAGAAGUACUGAAGUAAUACUAAAAAUGCUAUUUCUUGUAUAGGAUUGCAAGUUAAAACAGUAUAAAAAGAAAUAUCAGAUACAGUUAAAUGAGCAUUUUAAAAAGAGCAAUAUAAAGAAUGUAUUUUUUUCUGACAGAAGAUUUUUUCAAAUGUAAAAAAUAUAUUGCACGUGACAAAAUUAUGUUAAGGAACCCUCACUGCAGACAUCUGUGGUUAUUUUCUGAAAAGCAUGACUGCUCUUUUAACAGUCACAUCUUGUGUUUCGUACCCAUAAUUGGAAGUAUGUUUGGGGAAUAAUUAAAAUAUCUCUCUUUGUAUCAGCCUAAAGUGUACCAAACUUGUGAAAUAAUGUUGUCUGUUCCCGUCUAUUCCUAAUACAUAACAUGCAUUUCAAAAGUGCUUUUAAUGCCACUUUUUCUCUCUCUUCUACACUAUGGCAGUCAAAAGAACCAUGAAACCUCUCAAGAAAAUCAUUUUACUCUACAUUUCCCCUAAAUAUAAACAAGUACAUAUACACUGUGUCACAGCUUCUCCUAGAUUGCAAUAACUUACCUUUAUCAAAUAAGAUACUAAACAUAUUGUUAGAAAUAACAUAUAACAUGUAUGUGUUUUAUGCCUUAUGGAACUGUAAUUUGUAAUUUCAUUUUUAUUCAACAGAGGGGUUAAGAUGGAACUUCAAUUCCGAUCAGGAUCAUUACUUUAAAAUAAAGCUGAGCAAAGUACUAAUUCUUACUGUCUGGUUUCAGCUCUAGUCUGCAUUACUCAAGCUCAGUUAGAUCACAUGCACUACUAAGCAUCAGUUAGACCUUUAAUUCUCAUUGGUGAAAAAGCCAGGGACUAUGUAUACAAAAAUCUACGGAAUUUACUCACCUCAGGACAUAAGGUCAAACAUCUGCUUACACUAAGUAUGGUAUUUAAACCUAUUUGAUCUUUAUCUGAGGUGUAAGAUAAAAUGUUUGCAUGGAAUAAGUAAGUUUUUGUCUUUUAAGAGACACUCAUAAACUUAGAACUCAUAAAGAUGAACUACUGAACGAUGGGACAAUUCCAAGUGCCAAAUAGACCAGAUAAAUAGGUCUAUUGUCAUUACAGCAAAUUUUCUUGUAAAAAAAGUAUAAUGAAAUCAUCGUGGUUUUUUGUUCUUUUUUUUGUUUGUUUGUUCUUUUUUUUUUUCUAAUUUAAAUGCUGAUUAUUGUCAGAAAGUUCAACUUGCUAAGAUGAAAUCUAAAGAAAUGAGCCACCAGCUGGAAGGAAUUUGCCACAGUUCAUGUGCCAACACAAGGCCCCGACGACAUCAUUUUUACUUUCCAUUAAAAGUGAGGGGGGGGGGGGGGGGGGG